rnacentral:misc_RNA from 1 species
GAUGAAGAACGUAGCGAAAUGCGAUACUUGGUGUGAAUUGCAGAAUCCCGUGAACCAUCGAGUCUUUGAACGCAAGUUGCGCCCGAAGCCGUCAGGCCGAGGGCACGCCUGCCUGGGCGUCACACGCCGUUGCCCCCCCGCGCCCCGCACCCAACUCUUUGGGAGCGACCGCGGGGCGGGCUGAUGAUGGCCUCCCGUGCGCUCCGCCGCGCGGUUGGCCCAAAUACCGAGUCCCCGGCGACGUGCGCCACGACGAUCGGUGGUUGAGAGACCUCUGUCGCAAGUCGUGCGCGCCCGUCGCGUCACGCGGGCUCGCAUAGCGCCUCGCGCCGCACCCGGUGCGGAGCUUUCAACGCAACCCCAGGUCAGGCGGGGUUACCCGCUGAAUUUAAGCAUAUCAAUAAGCGGAGGA